CUGCUGCCUCCCGUAGGAGUUUGGACCGUGUCUCAGUUCCAAUGUGGGGGACCUUCCUCUCAGAACCCCUACGCAUCGUCGGCUUGGUGGGCCGUUGCCCCCACCAACUACCUAAUGCGCCGCAUGCCCAUCCGUGACCGGGGUCGCCCCUUUGGCCGGCAGGGGAUGUCCCCUCCCGGCAUUAUGUUGUAUUAGGCGGGAUUUCUCCCGGUUAUCCAUCUGUCACGGCCAGGUUGCAUACGUGUUACUCACCCGUGCGCCGGUCGCCGGCGG
rnacentral:rRNA from 1 species